rnacentral:rRNA from 1 species
GAUGAACGCUGGCGGCGUGCCUAAUACAUGCAAGUCGAGCGAACAGACGAGGAGCUUGCUCCUCUGACGUUAGCGGCGGACGGGUGAGUAACACGUGGAUAACCUACCUAUAAGACUGGGAUAACUUCGGGAAACCGGAGCUAAUACCGGAUAAUAUAUUGAACCGCAUGGUUCAAUAGUGAAAGACGGUUUUGCUGUCACUUAUAGAUGGAUCCGCGCCGCAUUAGCUAGUUGGUAAGGUAACGGCUUACCAAGGCGACGAUGCGUAGCCGACCUGAGAGGGUGGUCGGCCACACUGGAACUGGGCCACGGUCCAGACUCCUGCGGGAGGCAGCAGUAGGGAAUCUUCCGCAAUGGGCGAAAGCCUGACGGAGCAACGCCGCGUGAGUGAUGAAGGUCUUCGGAUCGUAAAACUCUGUUAUUAGUGAAGAACAAAUGUGUAAGUAACUAUGCACGUCUUGACGGUACCUAAUCAGAAAGCCACGGCUAACUACGUG